AGCAGCCGCGGUAAUUCCAGCUCCAAUAGCGUAUAUUAAAAUUGUUGCAGUUAAAAAGCUCGUAGUUGGAUUUCUGGCUUGGUGCGCGCUGUCCGCCAGGGUUUCCUGGUGUGUACAGAAGUGCGCCUGCCAUCCUUCUGGAAAAUGUCCCUACCCUUCACUGGGCCGGGGGCACUUCUGGAUCAUUUACUUUGAAAAAAU
rnacentral:rRNA from 1 species